CCUACGGGUGGCAGCAGUGAGGAAUAUUGGUCAAUGGACGAGAGUCUGAACCAGCCAAGUAGCGUGAAGGAUGACGGUGCUAUGGGUUGUAAACUUCUUUUAUAUGGGAAUAAAACGUUCCACGUGUGGGAGUUUGUGUGUACCAGAAGAAUAAGGAUCGGCUAACUCCGUGCCAGCAGCCGCGGUAAUACGGAGGAUCCGAGCGUUAUCCGGAUUUAUUGGGUUUAAAGGGGGCGUAGGUGGAUUGUUAAGUCAGUUGUGAAAGUUUGGGGCUCAACCGUAAAAUUGCAGUUGAAACUGGCAGUCUUGAGUACAGUAGAGGUGGGCGGAAUGCGUGGUGUAGCGGUGAAAUGCUUAGAUAUCACGAAGAACUCCGAUUGCGAAGGCAGUUCACUGGACUGCAACUGACACUGAGGCUCGAAAGUGUGGGUAUCAAACAGGAUUAGAUACCCGUGUAGUC
rnacentral:rRNA from 1 species